AUUGAACGCUGGCGGCAUGCCUUACACAUGCAAGUCGAACGGCAGCAUAGAGAGCUUGCUCUCUGAUGGCGAGUGGCGAACGGGUGAGUAAAGCAUCGGAACGUACCGUGUAGUGGGGGAUAACGUAGCGAAAGUUACGCUAAUACCGCAUACGUACUGAGGUAGAAAGCAGGGGAUCGUAAGACCUUGCGCUAUACGAGCGGCCGAUGUCAGAUUAGCUAGUUGGUAGGGUAAAGGCCUACCAAGGCGACGAUCUGUAGCGGGUCUGAGAGGAUGAUCCGCCACACUGGGACUGAGACACGGCCCAGACUCCUACGGGAGGCAGCAGUGGGGAAUUUUGGACAAUGGGGGCAACCCUGAUCCAGCCACGCCGCGUGAGUGAAGAAGGCCUUCGGGUUGUAAAGCUCUUUCGGCCGGGAAGAAAUCGCACAGGCUAAUACCCUGUGUGGAUGACGGUACCGGCAUAAGAAGCACCGGCUAACUACGUGCCAGCCGCCGCGGUAA
rnacentral:rRNA from 1 species